rnacentral:rRNA from 1 species
UACGGGGGGGGCAAGCGUUGUUCGGAAUUACUGGGCGUAAAGCGCACGUAGGCGGCUUACUAAGUCAGGGGUGAAAUCCUGGAGCUCAACUCCAGAACUGCCUUUGAUACUGGUGAGCUUGAGUCCGGGAGAGGUGAGUGGAACUGCGAGUGUAGAGGUGAAAUUCGUAGAUAUUCGCAAGAACACCAGUGGCGAAGGCGGCUCACUGGCCCGGUACUGACGCUGAGGUGCGAAAGCGUGGGGAGCAAACAGG